rnacentral:tRNA from 1 species
GCUCCAGUAGUACAAUUGGUUAGCCCGUGGUACUUAUAAUGCUGAGGUUAUGAGUUCGAGCCUCACCUAGAGCA